UAUUUACUCCCUCCGUCCGGAAAUACUUGUCAUCAAAAUGAAUAAAAGGGAAUGUAUCUAGACGUAUUUUAGUUUUAGAUACAUCCCUUUUUGUCCAUUUUGAUGACAAAUAUUUUCGGAUGGAGGGAGUACAAA
rnacentral:pre_miRNA from 1 species